UUUUGUCAUGAAUUCUUGGUAGUGUAUAAGCAAAGGGCCAACUGAGGCUUCCAUUUUUUUUAAACUUGUCAUUUGCACUCGAUAUGAGAUUUAAAGCUGAGCCAUCAAGUUAGAUCCAGUUUAAUACAACUGAUUGGGGAUAGGCUAUCUAUGUAAAAUUGUUGAACUUGAAGAUCCGUGUUCAGCUGCUGCAUCAGAUGCAAAUCAGAACUGAUCAAAAGCACUCGACUUUCUUAUUGCAUGCCCGCAGUCGUUCUACGGGAAUAUCAUUAAAAUUUCUACGGUAAAAUCUGAAAUGGUAAACAAUAUUUUUUUCAUCACAAGCAGUUCAACCGAGAUUAAUCGGCUUGAAUAUUGCGUGCUUUCAGCCAGCAUGAUAAAAACAUUUUGGGUUUAUUGCGCAGCAAGAUAAGAAACAUCGAAAUCCAGUUGAUAAUAUGAAGCGUCCAUUCGAGACGAAUCGGUUGUUGCAGCGAAGUCAGACCCAAGGAGAUUGUUCUCUUUCAAUAAGUCACUUUUUGGUACUGUUUAGGACUGCGUGUAUACUUCUUUUCUUACGUAGCACACAACACGCAGCAUCCUUAUCUGAUCAAUAGUAACAUACAACAACAUAGGCCUAUUCAUUUCACUGAUUUGAAUUGAAUUUAUUUUCCAUUAUGGUUGCUGUCACUUAUUUGGACCUUGCCUUUUACGUUUUUUUCUUAUUAUUGGGCGUACUAAUCUUCACUGUCAUAAGUCGAAAUCGAUAGAACUGCCUCAUCACAGCAACCGAUGUCAAAAAAAAGAAAAAAAUGUUUUCACCGGCACAGUUUUGGGCGAGAGAUACGGCGAUAAGGCAGGAGUGAAGAAGUGUGCCUAUACAUGGCGACUAGACGGGAAAAUACACAAAAUUCAUCUCGCCGCAUCGCCUACAAUUUCCAGUGAACGACAAGACAUUCCGUCAUAAUAUAUUAGAAUAUUAGAAACAAUGGCCAUGUACAAAAUAGUAAAAGUUGAGUAAAUAAAAAAUUCAGUUCAGACCUUUAA